rfam:Plasmopara halstedii genome assembly, contig: Scaffold_2061
UACUCGGUGUUUAUAAACACCACCCCUUUUCACUUGAAAUUGUCC